UGGCUCUGGCAUCGAUGAAGAACGCAGCGAAAUGCGAUAAGUAAUGCGAAUUGCAGAAUUCAGUGAAUCAUCGAAUCUUUGAACGCACAUUGCGCCCGCCAGCAUUCUGGCGGGCAUGCCUGUCCGAGCGUCAUGUCAACCCUCGAGCCCCCCGCUCGGCGUUGGGGAUCGGCGCCCACCUGCCGGCCUCGAAAUACAGUGGCGGUCUCGCCGCAGCCUCCCCGUGCGCAGUAGCUUGCACGCUCGCACCGGGAGCGCGGCGCGUCCAAGGCCGUAAAAACCCCCCCAGACUUCUGAAUUGUUGACCUCGGAUCAGGUAGGAAUACCCGCUGG
rnacentral:misc_RNA from 1 species